rnacentral:misc_RNA from 1 species
AAGUCUGAUAACAAGGUUCCAGUAGGUGACGCCUUGCGAAUGGAUCAUUAUGAAUCCAACUAUCGGAUAGAGAUGCGUGCUGCUCUACCGGGCAAUGGUGCAACAGUCUCGAUUCAUUUACCUGCUCACCUCUGUGCACUUUUCACAGGACAGCUGGUGGUUGUAGGCUUCAUUGUUUAUGGCUACAGGUUGCUUUGUGUGCUUUAUAAAACUCAUAAUCAAGUUCAGAAUGUCUAUUGUGUAUCCACACAUUUAAAUACAA